GAUGAACGCUAGCGGCAGGCUUAACACAUGCAAGUCGAGGGGUAUUUAUCUUCGGAUAGAGAGACCGGCGCACGGGUGCGUAACGCGUAUGCAAUCUACCUUUUACAGAGGGAUAGCCCAGAGAAAUUUGGAUUAAUACCUCAUAGUAUAUAGACUCGGCAUCGAGAUUAUAUUAAAGUCACAACGGUAAAAGAUGAGCAUGCGUCCCAUUAGCUAGUUGGUAAGGUAACGGCUUACCAAGGCUACGAUGGGUAGGGGUCCUGAGAGGGAGAUCCCCCACACUGGUACUGAGACACGGACCAGACUCCUACGGGAGGCAGCAGUGAGGAAUAUUGGACAAUGGGCGCAAGCCUGAUCCAGCCAUGCCGCGUGCAGGAUGACGGUCCUAUGGAUGGUAAACUGCUUUUAUACGAGAAGAAACACUGCUACGUGUAGCAGCUUGACGGUAUCGUAAGAAUAAGGAUCGGCUAACUCCGUG
rnacentral:rRNA from 1 species